UGCAGUUGAACGCUUCUUUCUUAUCGAACUUCGGUUCACAAAGAAAGAAGAGUAGCGAACGGGUGAGUAACACGUGGGUAACCUGCCCAUCAGCGGGGGAUAACACUUGGAAACAGGUGCUAAUACCGCAUAAUACUUUUUCUCUCAUGAGUGAAAGUUGAAAGGCGCUUUUGCGUCACUGAUGGAUGGACCCGCGGUGCAUUAGCUAGUUGGUAGGGUAACGGCCUACCAAGGCAACGAUGCAUAGCCGACCUGAGAGGGUGAUCGGCCACACUGGGACUGAGACACGGCCCAGACUCCUACGGGAGGCAGCAGUAGGGAAUCUUCGGCAAUGGACGAAAGUUUGACCGAGCAACGCCGCGUGAGUGAAGAAGGUUUUCGGAUCGUAAAACUCUGUUGUUAGAGAAGAACAAGGAUGAGAAGAGAAUGUUCAUCCCUUGACGGUAUCUAACCAGAAAGCCACGGCUAACUAC
rnacentral:rRNA from 1 species